GACGUAGGGGGCCAGCGUUGCUCGGAAUUACUGGGUGUAAAGGGUUCGUAGGCGGUGCGGCAAGUCGGGAGUGAAAUCUUUGGGCUCAACUCAAAGGCUGCUUCCGAAACUGCUGUGCUCGAGUGUGGGAGAGGCGCGUGGAAUUGCAGGUGUAGCGGUGAAAUGCGUAGAUAUCUGCAGGAACACCCGUGGCGAAAGCGGCGCGCUGGACCAUUACUGACGCUGAGGAACGAAAGCUAGGGGAGCAAACAGG
rnacentral:rRNA from 1 species